GUAGUCCACGCCCUAAACGAUGUCAACUGGUUGUCGGGGAAGCAAUUCCUUGGUAACGAAGCUAACGCGUGAAGUUGACCGCCUGGGGAGUACGGCCGCAAGGUUAAAACUCAAAGGAAUUGACGGGGACCCGCACAAGCGGUGGAUUAUGUGGAUCAAUUCGAUGCAACGCGAAAAACCUUACCUACCCUUGACAUGUACGGAACCCCGCAGAAAUGCGGGGGUGCCCGAAAGGGAGCCGUAACACAGGUGCUGCAUGGCUGUCGUCAGCUCGUGUCGUGAAAUGUUGGGUUAAGUCCCGCAACGAGCGCAACCCCUGUGUCCUGUUGCCACCCCGGCGAGAGUCGGGAGCACUCGGGACAGACUGCCUCGCUUAAACGAGGAGGAAGGUGGGGAUGACGUCAAGUCAGUAUGGCCCUUACGGCCAGGGCUGCACACGUACUACAAUGCCCGGCACAAAGGGAAGCAAGACCGCAAGGUGGAGCAAAUCCCCAAAAACCGGGCCCAGUUCAGAUCGUCGUCUGCAACUCGACGGCGUGAAGUUGGAAUCGCUAGUAAUGGCGCAUCAGCUACGGCGCCGUGAAUA
rnacentral:rRNA from 1 species